rnacentral:rRNA from 1 species
UACGAAGGGGGCUAGCGUUGUUCGGAAUUACUGGGCGUAAAGCGCGCGCAGGCGGUCUUCCAAGUCAGUGGUGAAAGCCCGGAGCUCAACUCCGGAAUUGCCAUUGAAACUGUUGGACUUGAGGAUGAGAGAGGUGAGUGGAAUUCCCAGUGUAGAGGUGAAAUUCGUAGAUAUUCGCAAGAACACCAGUGGCGAAGGCGGCUCACUGGCCCGAUACUGACGCUGAGGUGCGAAAGCGUGGGGAGCAAACAGG